UAUUCGUUGAAUUUGGGUUAAAGAGAGGAGCUGAAUGCCAGAGGCAAAGUUCCAGUCAGACAUGCAGGUGAAAAGGUCCAUGGUUAGGAAUUCUGCCGCAACCCCUAGUUAAAAUCAAGAUAGAGAGAGAGAACCAUUUAAAUCCUUUCAAUCAGCAGAACAGAGGAAAAAGAGAGAUUCAAAAUUUUGUCAACGCAUGGCAAAAAUGAACCGAUAAAUACUUAUAGAAACAUUUUUCAUUGCCAAAGGACGAAAG
rnacentral:misc_RNA from 1 species